GCCGGACCCGGGCUUGCAGGGCUGGAGGGGGCACUGGUUGGGGCGCGGAGCCCGCUCCUCGGGACGGCAGCAGUGCGAGUUCCUACGCUGUCCUGGUGGCGGAACCAGUGAGACAAAUCCUAGAAUGGACAAAUUUGUACAGAAACGCACUGUCUGGCUCUUCACCCAACCACACCGAGCGGGCACCUGUGUACCAGUCCCACGUGGGAGCGUGGCAGCCCGCCGUGGGUCCUCUCCACGCCUCGCCUGCCCCUGAUUCGGGCGCUACCGACUCAGCUGUUGAUCUAUUACUUUGCAUUUGGAGGCCAUCAGGAGCACACUGCUCUAUUUUUAAACACGCCUUGACGUAGAUGUACUUUUAAAAUUACUUUCAGAUAUCCCUCCUCAAAUACGUUUUGACUUUUGAAACCGGGUGCGGAGGUAUAGGCACCAUGUGACCAGGACCCUUUCCCUCCAUGUGGCCGCUGCACGCCAUCAGCCGGGACUCGGCCCGCGGCCAAGGUGCUGUUCCGCGUGUCCCGAGGACAAGACCAGCGCAAAGGCCAAGGCUCAGCGUCCUGCCCGGUGGCAGCUGUGUGCCAGGCCUGGCAGGGCCCGGAGGCGGGGCUUCUGCGAAGCGGAGGGGAGGAGUCGGGAGGACGGAGAUCAGUU